rnacentral:rRNA from 1 species
UACGUAGGGGGCAAGCGUUGUCCGGAAUCAUUGGGCGUAAAGAGCGCGUAGGCGGUCCGGUAAGUCCGCUGUGAAAGUCAAGGGCUCAACCCUUGAAUGCCGGUGGAUACUGUCGGGCUAGAGUCCGGAAGAGGCGAGUGGAAUUCCUGGUGUAGCGGUGAAAUGCGCAGAUAUCAGGAGGAACACCGAUGGCGAAGGCAGCUCGCUGGGACGGUACUGACGCUGAGGAACGAAAGCGUGGGGAGCGAACAGG